rnacentral:rRNA from 1 species
CUACGGGGGGCUGCAGUAGGGAAUCUUGCACAAUGGGCGAAAGCCUGAUGCAGCGACGCCGCGUGGAGGAUGACGGUUUUCGGAUUGUAAACUCCUGUUAAGUGGGAAGAAAGGCGUGCGGUUAAUAUCCGCACGAGAUGACGGUACCACUAGAGAAAGCUCCGGCUAACUUCGUGCCAGCAGCCGCGGUAAUACGAAGGGAGCAAGCGUUAUUCGGAAUUACUGGGCGUAAAGGGCGCGUAGGCGGCUUGCUAAGUCAGUUGUUAAAUACCAUGGCUCAACCAUGGAUCAGCAAUUGAUACUGGCAAGCUAAGAGGGCAAGAGAGAGAAGUGGAAUUCCCGGAGUAGCGGUAAAAUGCGUAGAUCUCGGGAGGAACACCGAUGGCGAAGGCAGCUUCUUGGCUUGUACCUGACGCUGAGGCGCGAAAGCGUGGGGAGCAAACAGGAUUAGAUACCCGGGUAGUC